rnacentral:rRNA from 1 species
CUUUAUUACAAACGAUUCAGUUUUAUAAUGUCCUACUUUGCUAUACCGCAAUUUAUCUACAACUUUCNNNNNUCAGCAACGGAUCUCUUGGCUCUCGCAUCGAUGAAGAGCGCAGCGAAAUGCGAUAAGUAAUGUGAAUUGCAGAAUUCAGUGAAUCAUCGAAUCUUUGAACGCACCUUGCGCUCC